CAUCAGCGGACGUACGGAAUAGCGAGUCGCACCGAACUGCCAUGGGAGUCGCCAUGUUCUUGUACGUCUAUAGUGUCAGCCUGGGAGAUGUUGAGAUAUACAAGGUGUAGAGCUGGAUGAACACAGCAGGCCAAGCAGCAUCAGAGGAGCAGGAAAGCUGACGUUUCGGGCCUAGACACUUCUUCAGAAAAUGUCAGAUUCUCCAGCAUCUGCAGUUCCUACUAUCUCUGGGAGAUGUUGGGAUUUAGUGGUGCUCCAAACCACCAGAUCCCAUGAAAAUGAAGGAUAAGAUUCGGGGAACUUGGAUGACAAGAGAAAUUGAACCAGUUGGAUAACUCCCUCUCAGACAUCUUAAACUGGAGUAUCCUCCUUGGAAACAAACUGACAAUAUGCUCAAUGCAGAGCCCAGAUUUUGUGAUGUUAAAUUGCACCUCAGAAUAUAUUGCACGGCCCUUACACGCCCCUGCUCUCCAUUCAACUGCUGGGUAAGUCUGCACACAUGUGUCUUAAGUUGACUGUCACCACGGUUGAGGAAA